rnacentral:rRNA from 1 species
AAGACCUUGCGCUUUUGGAGCGGCCGAUGCCUGAUUAGCUAGUUGGUGGGGUAAUGGCCUACCAAAGCUUCGAUCAGUAGCUGGUCUGAGAGGACGGCCAGCCACACUGGGACUGAGACACGGCCCAGACUCCUACGGGAGGCAGCAGUGGGGAAUUUUGGACAAUGGGCGCAAGCCUGAUCCAGCCAUGCCGCGUGAGUGAAGAAGGCCUUCGGGUUGUAAAGCUCUUUCAGCCGGGAAGAAAAGGUUGCGAUUAAUAAUCGCAAUUUAUGACGGUACCGGAAGAAGAAGCACCGGCUAACUACGUGCCAGCAGCCGCGGUAAUACGUGGGGUGCGAGCGUUAAUCGGAAUUACUGGGCGUAAAGGGUGCGCAGGCGGUUUUGUAAGUCAGAUGUGAAAUCCCCGGGCUUAACCUGGGAACU